GGUCUGCAACUCGACCACACGAAGCUGGAAUCGCUAGUAAUCGCGAAUCAGAAUGCCGCGGUGAAUACGUUCCCGGGUCUUGUACACACCGCCCGUCACACCAUGGGAGUCGGAAAUGCCCGAAGUCUGUGACCCAACCUGAGAGGGAGGGAGCAGCCGAAGGCAGGUCUGAUGACUGGGGUGAAGUCGUAACAAGGUACC
rnacentral:rRNA from 1 species